GAAAAUAUUCUCUAUGCUACCAGAGGUGAGAGAUCAUCAUGUGAUUUUUAGAUGCUUCUCUUAACAAUUAGUAAAUAUUGUCAAGUUCAUUCAAGGUGAUGAUCUAGUGAUGAAGGUUAUGCACCUCUGUACCUCGUGGCAUCACUUCACUUUUGUCGGCUUCCAGAUUUAUAGUCUAUAAGGUGUUGCAACUUCUAUUUUGUAGCUGGCUUAUUUCAAGAUUAGUAAAUUGUUGCUGCUAUGUAGAUUGAAUAUGAAUUUAUAAAUGAACAAUGUUCAAUAUAUUUGUUGACCAUAAUCGGUAUUCUACCUUUUAC
rnacentral:misc_RNA from 1 species